UACGUAGGGCGCAAGCGUUAUCCGGAAUUAUUGGGCGUAAAGAGCUCGUAAGCGGUUUGUCGCGUCUGCCGUGAAAGUCCGGGGCUCAACUCCGGAUCUGCGGUGGGUACGGGCAGACUAGAGUGCAGUAGGGGAGACUGGAAUUCCUGGUGUAGCGGUGAAAUGCGCAGAUAUCAGGAGGAACACCGAUGGCGAAGGCAGGUCUCUGGGCUGUAACUGACGCUGAGGAGCGAAAGCAUGGGGGAGCGAACAGG
rnacentral:rRNA from 1 species